CUUAACAUGCAGUCGACGGCAGCACGGGGGCAACCCUGGUGGCGAGUGGCGAACGGGUGAGUAAUACAUCGGAACGUGUCCUGUAGUGGGGGAUAGCCCGGCGAAAGCCGGAUUAAUACCGCAUACGAUCUACGGAAGAAAGCGGGGGACCGAAAGGCCUCGCGCUAUAGGGGCGGCCGAUGGCAGAUUAGCUAGUUGGUGGGGUAAAGGCCUACCAAGGCGACGAUCUGUAGCUGGUCUGAGAGGACGACCAGCCACACUGGGACUGAGACACGGCCCAGACUCCUACGGGAGGCAGCAGUGGGGAAUUUUGGACAAUGGGGGAAACCCUGAUCCAGCAAUGCCGCGUGUGUGAAGAAGGCCUUCGGGUUGUAAAGCACUUUUGUCCGGAAAGAAAACUUCCUGGUUAAUACCUGGGGAGGAUGACGGUACCGGAAGAAUAAGCACCGG
rnacentral:rRNA from 2 species